rnacentral:rRNA from 1 species
AUUGAACGCUGGCGGCAGGCCUAACACAUGCAAGUCGAGCGGAUGAAGGGAGCUUGCUCCUGGAUUCAGCGGCGGACGGGUGAGUAAUGCCUAGGAAUCUGCCUGGUAGUGGGGGAUAACGUCCUGAAACGGGCGCUAAUACCGCAUACGUCCUGAGGGAGAAAGUGGGUGAUCUUCGGACCUCACGCUAUCAGAUGAGCCUAGGUCGGAUUAGCUAGUUGGUGGGGUAAAGGCCUACCAAGGCGACGAUCCGUAACUGGACUGAGAGGAUGAUCAGUCACACUGGAACUGAGACACGGUCCAGACUCCUAAGGGAGGCAGCAGUGGGGAAUAUUGGACAAUGGGCGAAAGCAUGAUCCAGCCGUGCCGCGUGUGUGAAGAAGGUCUUCGGAUUGUAAAGCACUUUAAGUUGGGAGGAAGGGCAGUAAGUUAAUACCUUGCUGUUUUGACGUUACCAACAGAAUAAGCACCGGCUAACUUCGUG